rnacentral:rRNA from 1 species
UACGUAGGGUGCGAGCGUUGUCCGGAAUUAUUGGGCGUAAAGAGCUCGUAGGCGGUUUGUCGCGUCGUGCUGUGAAAACCCGAGGCUCAACCUCGGGCCUGCAGUGGGUACGGGCAGACUAGAGUGCGGUAGGGGAGAAUGGAAUUCCUGGUGUAGCGGUGGAAUGCGCAGAUAUCAGGAGGAACACCGAUGGCGAAGGCAGUUCUCUGGGCCGUAACUGACGCUGAGGAGCGAAAGCGUGGGGAGCGAACAGG